UACGUAGGGACCAAGCGUUGUUCGGAUUUACUGGGCGUAAAGGGCGCGUAGGCGGCGCGGUAAGUCACUUGUGAAAUCUCUGAGCUUAACUCAGAACGGCCAAGUGAUACUGCAGUGCUAGAGUGUGGAAGGGGCAAUCGGAAUUCUUGGUGUAGCGGUGAAAUGCGUAGAGAUCAGCAGGAAUACCCGUGGCGAAGGCGGCCCCCUGGGCCGUACCUCGACGCUGAGGCGCGAAGGCUGAGGGGAGCGAACGGGG
rnacentral:rRNA from 1 species